UUGAUCCUACGGGAGGCAGCAGUGGGGGAUAUUGGACAAUGGGGGGAACCCUGAUCCAGCGACGCCGCGUGAGUGAAGAAGUAUUUCGGUAUGUAAAGCUCUGUCAGCAGGGAAGAAAGCAAUGACGGUACCUGACCAAGAAGCCCCGGCUAACUACGUGCCAGCAGCCGCGGUAAUACGUAGGGGGCAAGCGUUAUCCGGAAUUUGUGGGUGUAAAGGGAGCGUAGACGGCUGUGCAAGUCUGGAGUGAAAGGCGGGGGCCCA
rnacentral:rRNA from 1 species